rnacentral:tRNA from 1 species
GAGGGUAUAGCUCAGUCGUAGAGUGAGGGCUUAGCAGGCAUGAGGUCCUGGGUUCAAUCCCCAGUACCUCCA